rnacentral:rRNA from 1 species
CCUACGGGAGGCAGCAGUGAGGAAUAUUGGUCAAUGGACGAGAGUCUGAACCAGCCAAGCAGCGUGAAGGAUGACUGCCCUAUGGGUUGUAAACUUCUUUUAUAUGGGAAUAAAAUGUUCCACGUGUGGGAUUUUGUAUGUACCAUAUGAAUAAGGAUCGGCUAACUCCGUGCCAGCAGCCGCGGUAAUACGGAGGAUUCGAGCGUUAUCCGGAUUUAUUGGGUUUAAAGGGAGCGUAGGUGGAUUGUUAAGUCAGUUGUGAAAGUUUGCGGCUCAACCGUAAAAUUGCAGUUGAAACUGGCAGUCUUGAGUACAGUAGAGGUGGGCGGAAGUCGUGGUGUAGCGGUGAAAUGCUUAGAGAUCACGAAGAACUCUGAUUGCGAAGGCAGUUCACUGGACUGCAACUGACACUGAGGCGCGAAAGUGUGGGUAUCAAACAGGAUUAGAUACCCUGGUAGUC